GGGAAAGACAGUUUUCUUGGCUCAGAAAGAGCUGCAGGAUAUUGCCCUUCCCACCAUUAACAGCGUUGAAAUCCCCGGAUUCAAAUAUCUUCCUACUAAGAGGAAUGUGCGCAAAUGGAAACUCGUGAGAAGAGUGAAGGAUACACUGAUGACUAUCAUACAGGGCCGAAUAGAUUCCAACGGAUCAAGCUAUGGGAACGAUCUACUUGGAUUGAUGCUUGAGGCUUGUAGAACUGAACCAAAUGAGAGGAAAGGCAAUUUGAGUAUGAGUAUGGAUGAGAUCAUUGAGGAGUGUAAGACAUUCUUCUUGGCUGGUCAUGAAACCACCUCCCAUUUGCUAACUUGGACUAUGUUCUUAUUGAGCAUAAAUCAAGAUUGGCAAGAGAGGCUGAGAGAGGAAGUGUUUAGUAAAUGCGGGAUGGAAUUCCCUAACUCAGACCAGCUCGGCAAACUAAAUUUGGUUACAAUGUUUCUCUUUGAAGUAUUGAGGCUUUACAGUCCAAUUGUUUCAAUGCUGAGGAUGGCUAUUAGGGAUAUGAAAUUAGGAAGCCUGAUGAUUCCCAAGGGUACAUGCUUG
rnacentral:misc_RNA from 1 species